CACACAACUGCUACCCAGUCACCUAUCCCCAUGAUCUGACAUAUGGAGCCAACAGAAGCAGCAAUGGGUCGUUUUUAGCACACAUCAUUUGUGGCACGCAUAAUUAUAAAAUAUUAAUUUCAUUUAAAAAAAAAAAAAAAAAGCAAGAAUCAGUAUAUUUUUGCAGCCUGAUGCUCAGACAUCCAUCUUUGGUUUAUUCUGUAUUAUUUUCAUAAGACAAUUAUUGUAUUCAAUUAUAGAUGAAUAUUCGGCAUAGAUAAAUAUUUGAAAUCCUUUAUACCAUUUUGCACAGUCUGCUGUUCAGUAUUUACUUGACUUGCACUUACAAGAUCAGGGUCUCACACUCCAACUCCAUGUUGACAGCCAUUUCAUGGACACAACAUGGAGGGAUGAAGGAGCAGAUGAACAAAAUUCGUUUAGGAAAUGCGUCACUAAAAACAUCAGCUCUUUUAAACAGAGCAGUUAAUGUUUAACUGCUCUGUUUAAAAGCAACUGAGUUAAUGAACGCAACACCUUUUGAGACAUGACCUGCCCGUCAUGUCUAAAACAUUGACAUGACAGGGAGGGUUCAAGACCUCAUACAAGAAUGAUUUCAUGUGAUGUACAUUUAAGAUAUAUCUUCAUAAGGUGCAAUUUUGUCUUAUCAAUAUUGAUGGACAUUUUGCAAAAUGUAUUUGUUUGUGCUUUAUAAAGGAAAAAACAGUUCAUAAAUAUAAAUUUAAAAUAGUCUGUACUUGCAUGUCAGUUUAUUAAUUCAUGGCUUUCUCAGUCUAUUCACAUUAAAUUAACACAAACUAGUUGGAUCAAAUCAGUUCAUCAGGUGUUGUGUUGGUCUCACCUUAACUGAGUUGACUGAAUUCACUUUGAGAGGCUAUUUGAAGUUAGCACCAGUGAAAUGCAAAUAAAAUCAAAUCUCUGAACAACAUGUAUUCAUCUUUUAUUUGGUGAAAGUCGUGGUGAGAAAAUGGUAGAAGAGCUUGAAAAAGAUUUCACUAAAUAGGUUAAAUUACUUACCAGCCUGGAAAAUAUAAACUGUAUUGUUAUAAAUUUCCAAAGUCCAAUGAGAACAAAAUUAAUCAUCUGCUCAGGCUGAUUAAAGUAACUGUGUUUUCUUACCAUAACUAGCCCUUUCAACUCAACUGUAAAUUUAGAUACAAUAACCUUGCUUGACUAUGACUUCAGCAAACCCAAUUCCAUGGACAUCCGUUUACUUGAUGACUCAUCUGUUCACAGAUUUUUCACUGGAACAAAACUCCAGAUUGUUCAGUGAAAAUCAGCAAAUACACAGAUAAAAAAAAAAAAAACUAUUAGCUGGUAAAGGUGAAAUACUUAGAUGCAGAGCUACUUGACAUGCUAUAAGACUGGCAUUUGCAAACCAGUUAAUCCAGGAACAGCAUUCCUUUUCCACGGCACUGAUUGACUAUACCCCAAGGCAAGGAAGACUGAGAAUGUUAGCUUUUGCAAUAGUGCUAUGACAGCUUCCACUGUGCAGCUGAAUACAAAUGAAGGUAUAUUUAGAAUUUCAACAAUUAAAAUAGGCAGUUCUAAAGGGGGUCUGACGUAUUCAUAGCUCUCAGCCAUUUACAGGCACCUGUGGUCUCUAGCCCUGUCAGGUACUGGGUGUCCACUAUAUGGUAAUUUCUUUCCAACAUGAACAAAGUCAUGCAGUAAUCAAAUAGCAAUUGCAGUUUAAAUUAAGUUAAUAUCAUUCCCUCUUUGGUUCAGCUAUUUUUGCCAAAAUACUUUUCAAUACCAUUUUUAUUCAAUCAAGCUCCAGUUUAAAAAAUAUCUCCUAUCAAAUGUCAAAACAUUGAGACAUGACAGAGAGAGAAGCAGGAAAAAAAACCCACAAUCAUAAGAGGCAGUUAUUUCCCCAAAUAACUCUUUAAAAGGUGAGAAGCCAAUAUUAUUUUCAUUAUGCAAUAGUUACCCAAGAACCAAUGACCAGCAAUAAAUGAUUGAACAGCACUCUGGUUCAACACAUUUGAAUGUAAAAUAUAAAAAAAUGGAACAGGGAGAAAUUUCUAUUUCCUUUCAAAUUGUGAAACUAGCACAGGUUCAGAUUUUUUCACAAAGGUUCCUUUCAGAUUAUUUUGUUCUGUGAUUUACACACAGAACGUUUACACCCUACUAUUAACUGAAUAGUGUGUGAAGUCACUUCACCAUAUCUGGUCUGGAAAAUGUAGGUGUAGCAACGUCCUACAUUUUGUAGUCUGACACUAACCGGUAAGUGUGUGGUUCGGUUCGACCCAACAACCAUUAUAAGGUCUAUUCCUCACUAUUGUGGGCGAACCAUGAGCAUGCAACAGCUGUGCUCAACUCUCUGCUGAUGUUGGCACCCACACUCAGCAAUGGAGAAUCUCGAGGUUGUGGUUCUGAUGAACUCAAAUAAACCCAGAUUUAAUUUUGUCUUUUAGAAAUUCAUUCUUGACACAAACAUAAUGAUGAAGACUCAGAUCAGCUGAUUAUUUCACUAAGCAUAUAAUUACAAUUAUAUUCUGGCACUUUAUUUUUGUGCAACCUUCUGGAUUUGGGUAGUGAAGUUAAAAGAUGUAAGCCAAUAGCUACACAUAAAAUUUAAUUUUUUAAUCCAGAGGGAAAGUAAAAUUCACAUCUCAAGGUAAUAUUAUGUAGUUCUGGUGUUUCACACUGCCAGAGGAAAACUGCAGCUCUGAUAGAAAAUGACCACAGCUGCAUCAUUUCUCUUUUUUUUAUUUUUGCCCAUUCUUCAGAGAAACAAGCAGCUUGCUGUGCUGCUAAACCAUGGUCAUUCUGCUGCAAAAUUUAACAUGUGUUCCUGGCGCUGCUCAUAAUACUCCUAAUUACACUCCUCCGUACUGAGCAGCUCCCUGAUAGCAGACAGUCUGCGUUCCACAGCUAAACUAUAAUAUUGUUUAGAGUUUGCCAUGAGAUAAUCAUGAGCCAAUUCACGAAUGCCGUCAGCUGUCAAUCAAAUCACCUCGGUGCAGCACUUGGCAUGGUUCUGCUAGUACUACCUCUGAAGUAGAUGCAAAAAUCUGAGAAAAGCCAGGCAGAGCUGCGCUGGAUCUGCUAAUGGAAAUGAAUCUGAUCAGGGCGGACUGGGACUAUAUCAGUUAGAGGCAGUCUAGAGGAAAAGUGCCUUCAGUUGCUCAGCAACUAAGGUCUGAGCAACUGUUCAACAGUGCACAACUUUGCUUACAUUUAAAGCACAGCAAUAAUGACAGAGAGCUCACAGUUCAGAUAAAUGCUGCAGUUUGCAAGUCAACCAAAGCUACAUGAUCUGAAAACACACCAAUUGAUCUCAGUUGAUCCACUGAUCACAUAAGUGUAUGUGAUGUAAAAAGUAUGCAGUAAAGGUGUAUGCUUUUUACAACAUUUAAUGAGGAGCUAUAUUGUUGAAUAGCCAUUUUCUGAAAUGGGCUUUUAACCAGAAAGAAAAAAAAAAAUCUGCUGAUCUUCUGUGCAACAUUGCUUCAGAGCAAGAGAAAAUUACUUAAUAGUAACUAUUGCUUGAGAAUUUAAUUUCAUUCAUAAACUGAAUAUCUGCAUUUAAACCAAACUUUGUCAGAACCGUAACUACAUGCAAAAUGUGUUUUUAUAGAUUAUUGGUUCAGCACCUCAGCCUCAUAAUAUGUAGGUGUAAGUUUUGUACCGUUUUCAAGGGAGCUGUAAGACAGAAUAUAAAAAAUACAAUAAGCUAAUACAAAAAACAGUUCAGCUGAGAUGAAAACACACUGCAUCAUCAUCAUAACUGAGGAUUUGAGUCAGUGCAAUUCAGAGCAGCCAACCAACAAGCUGAGUUGUACCUGUGUUUUGCUGGCAUGAUGGACACCACAGGACACCCACAUCGAUCCAAGCAGUGUUCUCAAAAUACGGUGAUUCUUCUUGUGUCUCAGUUUAUCUGCUCGCCUCCUCACCCAUCUAGGUGUAACAGUCUAUAUGUCUCUAUGUGAGCAUGUGUUUCAGAGAGAGAAAGUGGAUAGGUGUGUGUGCAGUCUACUGGAAGGCGAGUAGGAACAUGAGCACUACGUUAAUGAUAAUAAGCAACAUCAUGAUGACAAA